rnacentral:rRNA from 1 species
UACGUAGGCAGCAAGCGUUGUUCGGAAUUACUGGGCGUAAAGAGUGUGUAGGCGGUGUUCUAAGUCUGUUGUGAAAUCUCCCGGCUUAACUGGGAGGGUGCGGCGGAAACUGGAAUGCUAGAGGAUGGGAGAGGUAAGCGGAAUUCCUGGUGUAGCGGUGAAAUGCGUAGAUAUCAAGUGGAACACCAGUGGCGAAGGCGAGUCUCUGGACAUUUCCUGACGCUGAGGCACGAAAGCCAGGGGAGCAAACGGG